rnacentral:rRNA from 1 species
UGGGAUCGUGACGGCGGACGGGUUAGUACGCGUGGGAACGUGCCCAGAUCUAAGGAAUAGCCACUGGAAACGGUGAGUAAUACCUUAUACGCCCUUCGGGGGAAAGAUUUAUCGGAUUUGGAUCGGCCCGCGUUAGAUUAGGUAGUUGGUGGGGUAAUGGCCUACCAAGCCUACGAUCUAUAGCUGGUUUUAGAGGAUGAUCAGCAACACUGGGACUGAGACACGGCCCAGACUCCUACGGGAGGCAGCAGUGGGGAAUCUUAGACAAUGGGGGAAACCCUGAUCUAGCCAUGCCGCGUGAGUGACGAAGGCCCUAGGGUCGUAAAGCUCUUUCGCCAGGGAUGAUAAUGACAGUACCUGGUAAAGAAACCCCGGCUAACUCCGUGCCAGCAGCCGCGGUAAUACGGAGGGGGUUAGCGUUGUUCGGAAUUACUGGGCGUAAAGCGUACGUAGGCGGACUGGAAAGUUGGGGGUGAAAUCCCAGGGCUCAACCCUGGAACUGCCUCCAAAACUAUCAGUCUAGAGUUCGAGAGAGGUGAGUGGAACUCCGAGUGUAGAGGUGAAAUUCGUAGAUAUUCGGAAGAACACCAGUGGCGAAGGCGGCUCACUGGCUCGAUACUGACGCUGAAGUACGAAAGUGUGGGGAGCAA